GGAAAGGCGGAGUCUUACCUACGGCAUGGGUGGCGGCAGAACGUUGAAUGG
rnacentral:tRNA from 1 species